rnacentral:lncRNA from 1 species
AGAAUUAUUGAAAAGGAUAGACGCAAAAUUGUAAUUUUUCCUAGGAUGUAAUAAAAUGCAAAUGCAAAUGCAAAUGAAAUGUGAUAGAUUAAUAGUUAAAUUUAUCCAUAUAGAUCCAGAAAGACCAACUACGGAACUAGAUCGAGGAAAGCAAAAGGUUUCGGAUUAAUUGAGAUUCAAAUAUGAAUUAUUUUCAAGGUAAGUUCGUGUAACUUAAAUAUGUAUGUUAAUAUACUUGAUUUGAGUUAUAUGAUUGUAUUGAUAUGUAUGAGACGAUACACAUAAUGAAAUAGUCAUAAGUUGUGAAAAAUUGACAAAUUCUGAUGUUCUGGUUAAAUG